rnacentral:ncRNA from 1 species
AUGCGCGUGAUAGAAUAAUUUCUACAUCUUUCGUUCCCUAGACAGGCGGUGGAAACUACCAAGCUGGAGUACGGUAGGGGCAAAGGGAAUUUCCGGUGGAGCGGUGAAAUGAGUAGAGAUCGGAAAGAACACCAACGACGAAAGCACUCUGCUAGGCCGACACUAACACUGAGAGGCGAAAGCUAGGGGAGUGAAUGGGAUUAGAUAUCCCAGUAGUCUUGUGACCC